rnacentral:rRNA from 1 species
UACGUAGGGUGCGAGCGUUGUCCGGAAUUACUGGGCGUAAAGGGCUCGUAGGUGGCCAACUAAGUCAGACGUGAAAUCCCUCGGCUUAACCGGGGAACUGCGUCUGAUACUGGGUGGCUAGAGAUUGGGAGAGGGAUGCGGAAUUCCAGGUGUAGCGGUGAAAUGCGUAGAUAUCUAGAGGAACACCGGUGGCGAAGGCGGCAUCCUGGACCAACACUGACGCUGAGGAGCGAAAGCCAGGGGAGCAAACGGG